UUUCAGAGUGCUCACAUAAUAUUCCUGUGCAGAGCCUGCCUGCAUUUGAUGUGUACAUCCCCUGUCCAGCCUCCUUCUUUGAGCUCCUUUAGCUGUUGAUAUCCUGCUGAUUUAGACCCCAUGUGCUCAGCCUCCCACAAGUUGCAGUUCUGUAAAGGAAACUCUGGAAACAUCACCCUCUGCUUUCUGAGUGAACUGCCCUCCACAGACUCUGGGCAGCUGGGCCACCCACUAUUCCUGCUUAGAGAUUACUUUGCUUUUCAAAGAUGGAUUUUAUUUGUAAGAGAAUUUACAUAAUGACAGUUCUAAGAAAUAACUUCUGGAUCAUGUACUGAGAAAAUCAGUCUCACCAGGGAGGACUACAGCUGGGAGAUGAGUGACAUCUACUACCCAUC